rnacentral:rRNA from 1 species
UACGGGGGGAGCAAGCGUUGUUCGGAUUUACUGGGCGUAAAGGGCGCGUAGGCGGCCAGCACAAGUCAGUUGUGAAAUCUCCGAGCUUAACUCGGAAAGGUCAACUGAUACUGUGCGGCUAGAGUGCGGAAGGGGCAACUGGAAUUCUCGGUGUAGCGGUGAAAUGCGUAGAUAUCGGGAGGAACACCAGUGGCGAAGGCGACUUCCUGGCCUGUUCUUGACGCUGAGGCGCGAAAGCUAGGGUAGCAAACGGG